CUGCUGCGGCGGCACGUGAGGGCUGGCGCGGAUCUGGGCAUGGCAGCGCGAAGUGGCCGUUUCUCUGGCUCGAUCUGCUGCUACGGUGUCCAGGCGGCCGGAAGGAGAUGGUCGGUGGUUGGAGGGGCUGUAGGCGCGCUGGUCUUACACGGUGAGGGUUGGCGAGGUGGGCUACUCGGGUCCACUGGUUGGAUGGUUAAGGUUGCCGGCGAAAGCUGAACUCCGGCAGUGGCCGGAGUUGUCGAUGGCAGCACCGGCAGGCCGUUUCCUUGCUGAAGCAGCCAGACAUGCCCAUCCGGCCGGAAAGGAAUCGGCAAGCUGCAGAUUGAUCAAGCUAAGUAAUUUUCUUAUCUUUGUUUGCACGGCCAGAUAGCACGCCUUCUUGCUGAUUACUUCUUCCCGUACACUCACGUGAAACAACAUAGAUUCACUAAUUGAUUUCGGCCAGAUGCGCUAAUACAGAAAGUUAGCUCGAUUAGUUAAUCUCCAGCUAUUUGGGCCUAAUAUUUUUUUGAUCUGGUCAAGUUCACACUGGGUUCUUAUUUUCAUAAGGCCAAAUGGUGUUCAUCAAUGCUUGGACAUGAACUCUGUUGUCAUCCUAUUUUAACAAUAUUAGGCCCAAAUUUGAUGUAUUUUCAUAACGCUGAGCUCUGUUGUCAUCCUAUUUUCUACAAUCUUAUGCUAUUCUUUUUCUUCCAUUCGUUUGCUUAACAUUAUAUUCUCUGUAGAUAUGUCAAAUUUGAUGUGUUUGAAAGAUGACUAAGAGUAGCAGUACUGUCGUAUGGCCGGCUUAAUUAAUAUUCCAACCACCAAUCGUGGCUACUAACUACCAAGAAAAGCAGUCAUAUGUGUACCUUUACUAAGAGUAGCAGUUCCUGAAGUUUAUAUAUUGCAGACUGCGGUGUGGUGGUCAAUAAAUCAUGUCAAAUGUUGUAGGGUGCUCGAAGUAAUGAGUUUGCUGCUGCUUCAAGCCAAGUGCACCUCUGUAGUCUUGCUGAAGAAAGAGGAGGAGAAGUUGAACGUAUAAGGUGUCGUGGCUGGAGGCCACAUGGACCCCACCUCCGCCGCAGGGGCGACGUGUAUUUCCUCUUGCUUCACCGCCUUAUAGCCAAGCAGACCAGGAGUGACCUCCUCUCCUACUACACCAGCAGCCUUCACUGGCUCUGGAGACAUGCUGGCCAUUGACGCUCCGACGCCGAUGAGUAAUCAGUUCCAUCAUUGACAUAUAACCUGACAAGUUGUUGGGCGGGAUGGGUUCCGUUGGCGUUGUGGUCCAGACACAAUAAUUCUUUGAAGCAGCGCCGUAGUGGAAUGAUGUAAAAAAAGUGUGAUGUGCCACAAUUUGGAUGUAAUGAUUUCUAGCUGCUAUGAGGAACGAAGCUUAAUCGGUGACUGCACUCUUUUUAACCAAGCUUCAGUCUAAGGUAAAUGAUACCACAUAUUAUGCCUCCUCUUUUUAAUCUUCUAUUUCUCAUGCUGAAGUGUUGCUAUUAAUACUUGUAUGUUAAUUUAGCUAUUGGAAUCCUUCAUCAUCUUCCUGUUUGGUUUAGUAAUUAUUUGGGAGAUAAUCACUUUGGGGUUUCAGGCACCUUGGUAUGCACAUGGCAAUGCAGAGCCCAAGAAUAUGAUUCUGGACAGUAACCUGUAGUUUCAUCAACCAUACUUCUGGUCAUACUACUGUACCUACAAUCACUCUCAUUCAAUUUUUUUUAGAGGAACUGCAUUUCACCGAUCUGGACAUUCAGUUAAGGAAUUUGAAAGGUUCAGGUCAUACAUGAUUGAUAUG